UACGGGGGGGGCAAGCGUUGUUCGGAAUUACUGGGCGUAAAGGGCUCGUAGGCGGCCAACUAAGUCGGACGUGAAAUCCCCAGGCUCAACCUGGGAACUGCGUCUGAUACUGGAUGGCUUGAAUCCGGGAGAGGGAUGCAGAAUUCCAGGUGUAGCGGUGAAAUGCGUAGAUAUCUGGAGGAACACCGAUGGCGAAGGCAGGUCUCUGGGCCACUACUGACGCUGAGAAGCGAAAGCAUGGGGAGCGAACAGG
rnacentral:rRNA from 1 species